GACGAACGCUGGCGGCGUGCUUAACACAUGCAAGUCGAACGGAAAUGCCCUGCUUUUGUUGGGUGCUCGAGUGGCGAACGGGUUAGUAACACGUGAGUACCCUGCCCUUUACUUUUGGAUAACUUCAUGAAACUGGGGCUAAUACCGGAUAGGAGCUCCUGCUGCAUGGUUGGGUUUGGAAAGUUCCGGCGGUUGGGGAUUGACUCGCGGCUUAUCAGCUUGUUGGUGGGGUAGUGGCUUACCAAGGCUUUGACGGGUAGCCGGCCUGAGAGGGUGACCGGCGACAUUGGGACUGAGAUACGGCGCAGACUGCUACGGGAGGAAGCAGUGGGGAAUAUUGCACAAUGGGCGGAAGACUGAUGCAGCAACGCCGCGUGCGGGAUGACGGCCUUCGGGGUGUAAACCGCUUUCGCCUGUGACGAAGAGUGAGUGACGGUAAUGGGUAAAGAAGCAACGGCUAACUACGUG
rnacentral:rRNA from 1 species